AAUUAAUUUCAGUUCAUCUGUAGGCUAAUUCUUAAGACUAAAAUGCUACAUUUCUGAAUAAUAUCUGAGUUUGGAAGGUACACUUUAUUAAGGUUAAUUGCAGCCCGAAACAAGAUGAUGUUGUUAGCACAGGUCAAGAAUAUUAUGGCUGUUCAUUCUACUCAUGCCAAAGUUACAGAAACUAUAUUUGGACCUGCUUUUGACCCGCAAUAUUACUAAAGCCUCCAUGGAAUGCAUAGUCCUGUGAAAACACGUGUGCAAUGCUGAUGUAAUUGGAUUGUUGUGGAACAAGUAUUCACGUUUAGUACGUAAGUAUUCAUUUCUUCAGUCAGAAGAUGUUUCUUAUAUAUGGCUAAAAUGCAGUAAACUUGUAUUCCAGAGAGACUUAUCUGCAGUGUUCAACAGUGUAAGUCAAGAUGAUACUUCGAGUUUAAUUCCAGUCUCUCCUGAUACAGAAAAGAAGGAGGAGAUGACAGAGUGUCUUCGUCAGUUGUCUGGAUACAGUUCAUUGUUAUCCACAGACUCAUCUCCCAAAGCCAUGAUAAUUAAUUCUCAUGAUCUGACAGAGAUUUCAAAGGAGACAACAAGACAAAGAAUGGAAAGGAUAAGUAAAAUAAUUGAAGAAACCUCAGAAUUGUUGAAAACCUCAAGUAACACCUCUGAAAAGGCCUGAAAGAACAGCUCUUCAGGCCUGUUCUCUGUAGAUGCAUGGAUAUAAAAAUUAAUAUGUAUGUUUGUACAACAUUAAAUUUUUAAUAUAUCAAA